rnacentral:lncRNA from 1 species
CUGAGGUGCCACAUAUACUUUAGGUUCAUCUCAUCUCUAGGUCUCUUAGACCCAACAGCAGUCACUACUUGCUCAGAAAUAUUUAUAGAUACAUCCAUAUGUAAAUGAUAAAAAUUAUCAAUUAUAAAACCACGGCCAAUAAUUUUAUUUCUAAAAUAAAUUAUGCAGUAGUUUUUGUUAAAAUUAAACCAUCCUGUGCAGAAAUCAAAUUUCUGCUAGCAGGAGGUACAUAAUUGCAGUCUUUAAGUAAUAAAACAUAUCCUGACGGUAGUCGCAAAGGAUAGGUGCCAGCAGCCACAGUAGCAA